AGCGCAGUGGAGCAGCGGCAGCUCGUUUGGUUCAUACCCAAAAGGUCGUCGGUUCGAGUCCGGCCUGCGCAACCA
rnacentral:tRNA from 1 species